UACGAAGGGGGGCUAGCGUUGUUCGGAUUUACUGGGCGUAAAGCGCACGUAGGCGGUUUGUUAAGUCAGGGGUGAAAUCCCGGAGCUCAACUCCGGAACUGCCUUUGAUACUGGCAAGCUAGAGUCCGGAAGAGGUAAGUGGAACUCCUAGUGUAGAGGUGGAAUUCGUAGAUAUUAGGAAGAACACCAGUGGCGAAGGCGGCUUACUGGUCCGGAACUGACGCUGAGGUGCGAAAGACGUGGGGGAGCAAACAGG
rnacentral:rRNA from 1 species